rnacentral:rRNA from 1 species
UACGAGGGCCCCAAGCGUUAUCCGGAUUUAUUGGGCGUAAAGCGUACGUAGGCGGUUUAUCGCAUCUUCUGUUAAAUCUCAAAGCUCAACUUUGGGGCCGCAGAAGAGAUGGAUAAACUAGAGGUCGGUAGAGGCAAGUGGAAUUGCUGGUGUAGGGGUUAAAUCCGUUAAUAUCAGCAGGAACACCAAAUGCGAAGGCAGUUUGCUGGAACGAUUCUGACGCUGAGGUACGAAAGCGUGGGUAGCGAAUGGG